ncrna:unclassified sequences L31-Firmicutes ribosomal protein leader
CUCUGAAUCAACAUAUGAUACAGGGCAAAGGAG